UGGGGAAUUUUGGACAAUGGGCGCAAGCCUGAUCCAGCCAUGCCGCGUGUCUGAAGAAGGCCUUCGGGUUGUAAAGGACUUUUGUCAGGGAAGAAAAGGCUGUUGCUAAUAUCAGCGGCUGAUGACGGUACCUGAAGAAUAAGCACCGGCUAACUACGUGCCAGCAGCCGCGGUAAUACGUAGGGUGCAAGCGUUAAUCGGAAUUACUGGGCGUAAAGCGAGCGCAGACGGUUACUUAAGCAGGAUGUGAAAUCCCCGGGCUCAACCUGGGAACUGCGUUCUGAACUGGGUGACUAGAGUGUGUCAGAGGGAGGUAGAAUUCCACGUGUAGCAGUGAAAUGCGUAGAGAUGUGGAGGAAUACCGAUGGCGAAGGCAGCCUCCUGGGAUAACACUGACGUUCAUGCUCGAAAGCGUGGGUAGCAAACAGGAUUAGAUACCCUGGUAGUCCACGCCCUAAACGAUGUCAAUUAGCUGUUGGGCAACUUGAUUGNUCAGUAGCGUAGCUAACGCGUGAAAUUGACCGCCUGGGGAGUACGGNCGCAAGAUUA
rnacentral:rRNA from 1 species